UAAAGGUCAUGAUGAACACAAGCACACCUGAGUAGGAUGCUCUCCAGGACCAUCACCUGCAUUAAUGACAGACCUUAAGGAUCGUUUAGAGCAGUGAGGUAGAGAGAUGGUCAAUCUGUAACGCCGGGAGAGAAAUUACAGCUUCUUAAGUCAGAGAACUGACGACGGGAAACGCAGCGGCGGCCGGAGGAGGAGCUAGGGCUGAUGAAUUCGAGACGUUUUUUUUUAAGAAUAGCGGAGGGAAAGAAGAAAAAUAAAGCUUUUUCUUUUUGUUUCUGUUAAUGGGCUUUAUUAGGCCCAAUACGUUUGCUUUUCUCCUUCAUGUGAAGCCCAACUAGAUUUAUUAUAUUUCAUAUUUACAAUCUGACAACACAAAAAUGGAGAAAUGUUGUGUACUAAUUCGGAAAUUUACAUCAAAAUCCUAACCAACCCC